rnacentral:rRNA from 1 species
ACGUAAUAGAUACCCUGGUAGUCCACGCCCUAAACGAUGUCUACUAGUUGUUGGUGGAGUAAAAUCCAUGAGUAAACGCAGCUAAACGCGUGAAGUAGACCGCCUGGGGAGUACGGUCGCAAGAUUAAAACCUCAAAGGAAUUGACGGGGGCCCGCACAAGCGGUGGAUUAUGUGGAUUAAAUUCGAUGCAACGCGAAAAACCCUUACCUGGCCUUGACAUGCCACUAACGAAGCAGAGAUGCAUUAGGUGCCCGUAAGGGAAAGUGGACACAGGUGCUGCAUGGCUGUCGUCAGCUCGUGUCGUGAGAUGUUGGGUUAACGUCCCGCAACGAGCGCAACCCGUUGCCAUCAAUUGCCAUCAUUUAAGUUGGGUCACUUUAAUGGGACUGCCGGUGACAAACCGGAGGAAGGUGGGGUAUGACGUCAAGUCCUCAUGGCCCGUUAU